rnacentral:rRNA from 1 species
AACCCUAAAACGUAAGUCUCAGUUCGGAUUGAAGGCUGAAAUUCGCCUUCAUGAAGCUGGAAUUGCUAGUAAUGGCAGGUCAGCAUACUGCCGUGAAUACGUUCCCGGGCCUUGUACACACCGCCCGUCACACCAUGGGAGUUGGCAACACCCGAAGUCGAUGAGCUAACCUUUUAGGAGGCAGUCGCCUAAGGUGGGGUUGAUAACUGGGGUGAAGUCGUAACAAGGUACC